rnacentral:misc_RNA from 1 species
AUAUCUUGAUGUCUUAACAAGUGCUGCACCAGGUUCUCUCUUAAUUAUGCUCGCUCCAGUACCAUUAACCUGGUUUGUACCAUUCACUAUCUUUACUUCUUUACCAUUAAGCGUUUUCCUCUUCACUACCUCACUCACAGGUACCAUUUUAAUCACUCGUCCAUUGCCUUUGGCACCUAAUCUUGAGGCUGGAGAUUCAGUUUGUCGCAUUUCCACCUGAAACCUUGAAUUCCUUGAAUGU